rnacentral:rRNA from 1 species
AUUGAACGCUGGCGGCAGGCCUAACACAUGCAAGUCGAGCGAGCGGCGGACGGGUGAGUAAUGGAUAGGGAUCUCCCCGAUGGGGGAGGAUAAAUACUAGAAACGGUGGAUAAUACCGAAUACUAUCGGAGACAACCAUGUGGGAUUAGCUUGUAGGUGGGGUAAAGGCUCAACUAGUCGACGAUGUAUAGCUGGUCUGAGAGGAUGAGCAGCCACACUGUGACUGUGACACGGCCCAGACUCGUACGGGAGACAGCAGUGGGGAAUAUGGCAGAAGGGGCAGAAGCGUGAUGUACCCAUGCCGCGUGAAUGAAGAAGGCCUUAGGGUGGUAAAGUACUUUCAGUGGGGAGGCGUUACCCGCAGAAGAAGCACCGGCUAACUCCGUGCCAGCAGCCGCGGUAAUAC